rnacentral:rRNA from 1 species
GGCGGCGUGCUACCCUGCAGUCGAACGAGAACGCUUCCUUCGGGAAGCUAGUACAGUGGCGAACGGGUGAGUAACGCGUGGGAAUCUACCCGGUAGUGGGGGAUAACCCUCCGAAAGGAGGGCUAAUACCGCCUACGUCCUACGGGAUAAAGAUGGCCUCUUUACAAUGCUAUCGCUUCCGGAUGAGCCCGCGUCCUAUUAGCUAGUUGGUAAGGUAACGGCUUACCAAGGCAACGAUGGGUAGCCGGUCUGAGAGGACGAACGGCCACACUGGAACUGAGACACGGUCCAGACUCCUACGGGAGGCAGCAGUGGGGAAUAUUGCGCAAUGGGGGAAACCCUGACGCAGCAACGCCGCGUGAGUGAUGAAGGUCUUCGGAUUGUAAAGCUCUGUUUUCUAGGACGAUAAUGACGGUACUAGAAGAGGAAGCCACGGCUAACUACGUGCCAGCAGCCGCGGUAAUACGUAGGUGGCGAGCGUUGUCCGGAUUUACUGGGCGUAAAGGGUGCGUAGGCG